rnacentral:lncRNA from 1 species
CACAUGGGGAAACACAGAACGCUAGCAAAGGGUUCCAAACCUACAGGGCACUCCCUAUUCAUAUUAGCAUGUUAACCCCGCCCUCUUUCCCCUCCUCCAUCCUUCGCCUUUCCUGUGUCCAAUGGAAAGGGAAGGGGGCGGAGGUAGCCUCGUUCUGAUUAUGCACCGUCUAUAUAAGGAGCUGCCCUAAAGCUUUUUCGCUCUUUUCGUCUGGACUGCUUUGCGUAUGUCGUCUUGUGCUUUCCCUGUUUUGCAGGUAAGGGAACCACGGGAAAUAUGGCUUUACUCAGUGGCGAUAUAAGGGCGAGAGAGGGGCAGGAAGAGAUUAUUCCUAAUUAUUCCUAAUUUUUUGCAGAGGAACUGCAAAAUAAAAGAAGCCUUUGAGCUUCGGCUUCCAUUAGGGCAUUGUGCGAGGGAGACAAGAAAAAGAGAAAAUAUCUUUGGUACAGGCAUGAGGAUCUUUUAGGAGUGGGUGAUAAAAUAAGAAAUCUACGAUGACUAACAAUUCUCCGUGGGCGAACUGCAAAACUACGAGUCCUAGAGUUCCGUGCGGCCUAAAGCUGGCGUCCACGCGACCCCGCGCAAUGCAUUGUAGGAGGGCGGGGAGAUUUUUCGACCGCGUGGAGACUGAAAGCAAAGCGUGGCUUUGGCAGGACUGACUGCAUUCUAGUUUCAGAAUUUGGGCGGGGAGCCGGGGCGACAAGAAGUUCCGGAAAUGAUAGCAAAUAUACCCCCACCAUAAAGUAUUUAUUAAAGCUGUAUUUGUGGUUACGGUAUCAACACAGUUGCCUGAGGAACGGAGGAAGAAUGGCAACAGCUCCAGCUGAUUUUUCAGGGCUGUCUUACCGGAACAAUCAGAUCCAAAUGAAAGCAUUAGAGCAUCUGGAUCAAUAUUCUUCUGCUUGUAGCUGUUUAAAUACUUGA